CCAUGCCAUUGGAAAUUUAUGUUCUAAUUACUUUUUUAACUUGGCGUGGACGCGUCCACGCCAUUGUUGGCAUGGACGCGUCCACGCCAAGUUAAAAAAGUCAUUCGAACACAAAUAUACAAUGGCAU